GGCAGGAUCAGCUAAAUCUUAAGCUAUUGGGCUCAUGCCCCAAAAAUGAAAGUUAAAACCUUUUUCCUUCCA
rnacentral:tRNA from 2 species